rnacentral:rRNA from 1 species
CCUACGGGCGGCAGCAGUGAGGAAUAUUGGUCAAUGGCCGGAAGGCUGAACCAGCCAUGCCGCGUGAAGGGCAGGGGCCUAUGGGCGUUAAACUUCUUUUGUGCGGGAGCAAGAAUGGUCACGUGUGGCCAGACGAGAGUACCGUACGAAUAAGCAGCGGCUAACCCCGUGCCAGCAGCCGCGGGAAUACGGGGGAUGCAAGCGUUAUCCGGAUUUAUUGGGGGUAAAGGGGGCGGAGGCUGUGAGGUAAGUCAGCGGUGAAAUGCCCCCGCUCAACGGGGUGAAGUGCCAUUGAUACUGCCUUGCUGGACUGCGGAUGCCGUGGGAGGAAUGUGUGGUGUAGCGGUGAAAUGCAU